rnacentral:rRNA from 1 species
UGUACACACGAUGCAGCAAACCAGUGAAUUGUUGUUGUCCCCGGAGGGGCCUCACCCGGAGGUGGGGCCGCCAAUGGUGUGGUUCGGUCGAGAGGCCGGGCCGUGGGCGUGGCACGAAUUCUCGCCGUUGGCCGGAGUGUUCCAUUCUCGCGGUUUCGAUCGUUCAAUGUUGACACCCCCCCCGGGGGGAGUUGGCUUUGGGCGAUUGUGGUCGGGCACUCCCCUCCCCCUUUGUCUCCCCGUCUUUGGGGUCUUAGGGGCCGUUUUUCUUACAAGCACGUUGAAGAACAUGAAUGGAGAGACUGAGUCUGGGCUUUUGCGUUGCCUUUCUAGGUGACGCAGCCCGAGUUGAAAACCAAAGUAACGACUCUCAGCAACGGAUAUCUUGGCUCUUGCAACGAUGAAGAACGCAGCGAAAUGCGAUACCUAGUGUGAAUUGCAGAAUUCCGCGAAUCAUCGAGUCUUUGAACGCAAGUUGCGCCCGAGGCUUGUCCCGAGGGCAUGCCUGCCUGAGCGUCACCGCAUUCCCACCUGGGCACUUUCCAGUGUGGAAUUGGCCGUCCGGGACCCGGCGUGGAGCUGUGGGUCGUGGUUGGCUGAAAUGUAGCGUAUUUGGAUGCAACCCUAGAGAGGGGCCGCGAGAAGGUGAUUCGCUCUUUUGCGGAGCGGAGUCUUAUUGGACAGCGCCUCUCCUGGGUAGUCCAGUCGGUGGCACUGACCUGGUGUCAUGGGGAAGUGCAAGUAACGUUGUGCCUCCCCUGCAUUGUAAAGCUUGGACCUCAGAUCAGGCAAGAUUACCCGCUGAGUUUAAGCAUAUCACUAAGCGGAGGAAAA